CAAGCGAAUGUGUGACCAGUUACACCUGGAGGGCUGCUGGAAGAGACUGAUAAAAUCAAAAAACAUGAGGGAAAAUAAAAAGAGUAAAAACCCCAAAUAAUUGUUCUUAAAUAGGAAAAAAAAAAGAGGGGAAAAAGUGAAAGUAAGAAAGUUCCCCACUAAAACAGGAUUUGGUGUCUCUUUCAAGCACGCUACGCUCGUGUGUAGCUGUAUUCGAUUACGACUUUCCUCACUCCUAACUUAUAUUA